rnacentral:rRNA from 1 species
GGGUGUGACUGCGUACCUUUUGUAUAAUGGGUCAGCGACUUAUAUUCUGUAGCAAGGUUAACCGUAUAGGGGAGCCGCAGGGAAACCGAGUCUUAACUGGGCGUUAAGUUGCAGGGUAUAGACCCGAAACCCGGUGAUCUAGCCAUGGGCAGGUUGAAGGUUGGGUAACACUAACUGGAGGACCGAACCGACUAAUGUUGAAAAAUUAGCGGAUGACCUGUGGCUGGGGGUGAAAGGCCAAUCAAACCGGGAGAUAGCUGGUUCUCCCCGAAAGCUAUUUAGGUAGCGCCUCGUGAAUUCAUCUCCGGGGGUAGAGCACUGUUUCGGCUAGGGGGCCAUCCCGGCUUACCAACCCGAUGCAAACUGCGAAUACCGGAGAAUGUUAUCACGGGAGACACACGGCGGGUGCUAACGUCCGUCGUGAAGAGGGAAACAACCCAGACCGCCAGCUAAGGUCCCAAAGUCAUAGUUAAGUGGGAAACGAUGUGGGAAGGCUCAGACAGCCAGGAUGUUGGCUUAGAAGCAGCCAUCAUUUAAAGAAAGCGUAAUAGCUCACUGGUCGAGUCGGCCUGCGCGGAAGAUGUAACGGGGCUAAACUAUGCACCGAAGCUGCGGCAGCGACACUUAUGUGUUGUUGGGUAGGGGAGCGUUCUGUAAGCCGUUGAAGGUGGUCUGUGAGGGCUGCUGGAGGUAUCAGAAGUGCGA